UACGUAGGGGGCAAGCGUUGUCCGGAAUCAUUGGGCGUAAAGAGCGUGUAGGCGGCUCGGUAAGUCCGCUGUAAAAGUCCAGGGCUCAACCCUGGAAAGCCGGUGGAAACUGUCGGGCUAGAGUCCGGAAGAGGCGAGUGGAAUUCCUGGUGUAGCGGUGAAAUGCGCAGAUAUCAGGAGGAACACCAAUGGCGAAGGCAGCUCGCUGGGACGGUACUGACGCUGAGACGCGAAAGCGUGGGGAGCAAACAGG
rnacentral:rRNA from 1 species